GACGAACGCUGGCGGCGUGCCUAACACAUGCAAGUCGAGCGGAGUUGACAAGAGGAAGUUUUCGGAUGGAAUCUUGCCAGCUUAGCGGCGGACGGGUGAGUAACGCGUGAGCGACCAACCUUGCACAGGGGGAUAACGGACCGAAAGGUUCACUAAUACCGCAUGAGACCACGGUGCUGCAUGACACAGGGGUCAAAGGAGGAAUCCGGUGCAAGACGGGCUCGCGUCCGAUUAGGUAGUUGGAGGGGUAACGGCCCAACAAGCCUAUGAUCGGUAGCCGACCUGAGAGGGUGAUCGGCCACAUUGGAACUGAGAUACGGUCCAAACUCCUACGGGAGGCAGCAGUGGGGAAUAUUGGGCAAUGGGGGAAACCCUGACCCAGCAACGCCGCGUGAAGGAAGAAGGUUUUCGGAUUGUAAACUUCUGUCCUUGGUGAAGAGAAGAAGACGGUAGCCAAGGAGGAAGCCCCGGCUAACUACGUGCCAGCAGCCGCCGUAA
rnacentral:rRNA from 1 species